GAUGAACGCUGGCGGCGUGCCUAAUACAUGCAAGUCGAGCGAACGGACGAGAAGCUUGCUUCUCUGAUGUUAGCGGCGGACGGGUGAGUAACACGUGGAUAACCUACCUAUAAGACUGGGAUAACUUCGGGAAACCGGAGCUAAUACCGGAUAAUAUUUUGAACCGCAUGGUUCAAAAGUGAAAGACGGUCUUGCUGUCACUUAUAGAUGGAUCCGCGCUGCAUUAGCUAGUUGGUAAGGUAACGGCUUACCAAGGCAACGAUGCAUAGCCGACCUGAGAGGGUGAUCGGCCACACUGGAACUGAGACACGGUCCAGACUCCUACGGGAGGCAGCAGUAGGGAAUCUUCCGCAAUGGGCGAAAGCCUGACGGAGCAACGCCGCGUGAGUGAUGAAGGUCUUCGGAUCGUAAAGCUCUGUUGUUAGGGAAGAACAUAUGUGUAAGUAACUGUGCACAUCUUGACGGUACCUAAUCAGAAAGCCACGGCUAACUACGUG
rnacentral:rRNA from 1 species